rnacentral:rRNA from 1 species
AUUCCAGCUCCAAUAGCGUAUAUUAAUGUUGUUGCAGUUAAAAAGCUCGUAGUUGGAUUUCUGGUGGGAGCGGCCGGUCCGCCGUAAGGUGUGUACUUGGUUGUCUCCUGUCAUCCUUGUGGGAACUGCUCUGGCAUUAAGUUGUCGGGGUUAGGGAACACAUCGUUUACUGUGAAAAAAUUAGAGUGUUUAAAGCAGGCUUAUGCCGUUGAAUACAUUAGCAUGGAAUAAUAAGAUAGGACUUUGGCGUCUAUUUUGAUGGUUUGCACACCAAGGUAAUGAUUAAUAAGGAUAGUUGGGGGCAUUCGUAUUUAAUUGUCAGAGGUGAAAUUCUUGGAUUUUGGAAAGAUGAACUACUGCGAAGGCAUUUACCAAGGAUGUUUUCAUUA